AAGCCUUCAUUUUGGAGGCAAAUUUGGCCUGGAAUGCACAGUAGUUGGAUUCAUUUUGUCAUGUAAGUUGGUGAUAUGCUCUGAAAAGGAAGUCUCUUAUCUGACUAUAUAUGAUUGCACUGACCGUAAUUCCCACUGUCUCACAUUGGCUGCUACAGUGUACUGUGUACAGGGUGCAUGAACCUGUUUCUUUAGACAGACAGCUGGAGCUCAGUGAAGGAAAUGCACGAAGGCACUCCCACUGUCCCUCAGCUCUCUGGGAGUUGGGACAGACUGCUGGGAAGAGCUCAAGACACCAGGAUGUAACAGGGAUGUCUCAGGCUGUCAGAAAAUUCUCAAUGCUACUGAGAGCACUGCUUCCACUGGGUUCCUGGGCAUCCCCUUGCAUUGCUUCAUUAUCCUGACUGUGAAGAAAGCACGAGGAGUAAGGAAUGAAGAAAUAUUGAACAAAAGUUAAGGAUCUGGAAAAAUGUGUACGUGCUUAGAUAAUAGGUACCUGAACAUCUCAGCAGUAAGACAUAGCUUUUCUUAAUCUGACUUUUUAAAGCACUCUGCUGACAAAAAUAUUUUAAGGAAGCUGGUUUAGGGAGUGAGAUGUUAACUAAGUAAACCUUGCAUUGCCUGCACUGAAAAUUUCAAUGAAGCUGAAAAGUGAACAAGGAAAUCCAAUCAGCCCUGACUGGGUUACACAACAAAAAAACAUUAGUGAUUGUAAGUUGGAGAUACCUUUUUUCACCAAAUGCAAGGCUUCUGGCUGGAAGAUGUAAUUUGUGGAACCAGAAUGUUGUUCUCAGGGUGCAUUUUCUUUUUCUUUAACAGAACUUAGUAAAAAAAAAAAAAAAAAAAAAAAAGUGAAACAAUAAUGAAAGUACUUCCUUCAAAAAUUAGCUCUUUCUGUGUCCUCAAUUGAAAAAAGCAAUAAAUACUGUUGGGGAUUUUUAAUGGUUGUUUUGGGGUUUUUUGUUUGUUUGUUUUCCUCUUUUGCCUCCUAUUUAUAAGGCAAACCUACUCCUGGUAGCUCUUAAAAGAAAUAAAGCAGUCAGUAUUAUUUUUCUUCUUCAGAAUGAAAUGAUUAUCCAAAUAUUUUGUCUUCAGAGACAGACAGUAGAGAGUUUACCUAGCUAACAUCUGCAUCACACCAGCUAGUUUUAGAAAGAGUUUGUCAGUAGAGUGCUUGAAAGUUCAUAUUAAGAAGAGACAAUUUCUAACCUGUCAAAACCUAACAAGAUUUCUUCUUCUAUUUUUUUUUGAGAAAGUUUAAUGGAAAGUACUAGAAACUUCAAAAAUUUCCUUAAGGAUAGUUGUAUUUAGUAAUAAAUUGAAGUACUUUUCUGCCUUUCUGCAUUUUUUUGGGGGGGGUGAGCAGGGAGAGGGGCGGGGGAUGGGACAACUAAUUAUAUCUCCUGAAGUGUAUUUCCAGAGAGAGAGGAUAAUGGAUUUAUCAAAUUUUUAAAAAAUAAUAAUAAUAAGAUUACAUUUUGUCUGUUUGUCUGUGAAAAUAAAUGUCCAUGCAUGUUUUGUAAAAUUUAUUUCAAAGCAUUACAAAAUUCUGUAGGAUUAAGGUAACAAAAUUCUUUUUUUUUUUUUUUUAAUGAGUCUUCAAUGGUAAAUAAAAACACAAGGCUCAAAUUUUGAUCCUGCUUCUUUUUUCUUGUAAAUAUGCUACAAUACAUAAAAUGUGUAAUAUCUAUCUGUGUUUCUUUUCUGAGGAAAUAUAGUUGCAAAGAACCUGCUUCCUUCCUCUGAGUAAUGAGACAUAAUUCAUUAACAGGAUUCUUAUAAGA